UACGUAGGGCGCAAGCGUUGUCCGGAAUUAUUGGGCGUAAAGAGCUCGUAGGCGGCUUGUCACGUCGGGUGUGAAAGCCCGGGGCUUAACCCCGGGUCUGCAUUCGAUACGGGCUAGCUAGAGUGUGGUAGGGGAGAUCGGAAUUCUUGGUGUAGCGGUGAAAUGCGUAGAUAUCAAGAGGAACACCUGAGGUGAAGACGGGUUGCUGGGCCGACACUGACGCUGACAGCGCGAAAGCCAGGGGAGCAAACGGG
rnacentral:rRNA from 1 species